ensembl:lncRNA
CCCCCUCUCCCUCUUCCUCCUCCUCCUCUCUCCCCCUCCUACUCUAUAUUCUGCUGGAGAUCUUGGUGUCAGCUACAAGAUUGUUCUUCCAGCCAAUUAGAGAGACAGUCCCCUGACUAAGUCCCGCCCCCUAAGCCGACUGCCAAUCAGAUCUUGUUUCAGCCUGUGUGGGUGGGGCUCCCGCCAGGGGCCAGGGUGUUGCCAUGCCAACUCAGCUCUUGAACUAUAAGAGCCCUCCCCCCUCCCAGACCCCACUUCUGCUGAGGUGAUGCUGGCGUCUGAUUGGCUAAACUCUGACUUGUCCACCGGCCCGAGGAAGGAGAAAGCUGCCGUCUGAUUGGACGGUAGGAGUUGCUUUCUUUCUCGCUCUCUUUGUCGUCCUUUCUUCCUGUCGGUCCCUCCCCUUCCUGUCUUCGCUCUCCCCCCCCCCGCUCCUCCCCCCCUCGCCCCAGGCUACUCUGCUCCUCCUCCACCCGGUCUAGGUCCAAAUCAGGAGCCCCACUCCUCCUCUCUGCUCCUCCUCUCUGUCGGAGGGGGGGCGUGCUCCUCCUCUCUGCUCCUCCUCUCUGCCGGAGGGGGGGCUUGCUCCCCCCCGGUGCUGAAGCCAGAUCCCGCUCCUCCCUCUCCUCCCGCUCCUCCCACUCCUCCUGCUCCUCCUGCUCCUCCUGCUGCUCCUCAGGGCCUUGGGGAGAGAAGCUUUCAUUAAAGGAGUUCAGUAUCGCUCAGAAGCUAACCUGCUAACCACAGCUAGCUGCUUUCAGUACCGCUCAGAAUCUAGAGUGCUAACCACAGCUAGCUGCUUUCAGUACCGCUCAGAAUUUAGAGCACUAACCACAGCUAGCUGCUUUCAGUACCGCUGUGAGGCUAACUGGCUAACCACAGCUAGCUGCUUUCAGUACCGCUGUGAAGCUAACUGGCUAACCACAGCUAGCUGCUUUCAGUAACACUCAGAAGCUAGAGCGCUAACCACAGCUAGCUGCUUUCAGUAGCGCUCUGAAGCUAACCCGCUAACCACAGCUAGCUGCUUUCAGUAACACUCAGAAUCUAGAGCGCUAACCCCAGCUAUCCGCUUUCAGUACCGCUGUGAAGCUAACCUGGUAACCCCAGCUAGCUGCUUUCAGUACCACUCAGAAGCUAAACCGCUAACCACAGCUAGCUGCCUUCUGCUGGUCUAAAGAGCAGCAUCACUUCUAGUACUUAGUCUACUAUCAACUCUUAAUUUAGUCUAGUAAAUCAGGAAAUAACCUUAGUUGGUCUCAUUUAAUCUAAUCCAAUGAGGUAUCAUCUCUUCUAGUGUGAUCCAGUAUGUUAUGUUAUAAUCGAGUUUAGUAUUAUCUAGAAUAAAAUCAUAUAAUUGUAUCUGGUAUAAUCUAGUAUGUUAUAAUACAAUCUAAUCUGAUAUAAUCUAGCCUGGUUUAAACUAGAAUAUUAUCAUAUCAUUGUAUCUAGUAUAAUCUUGUUGAAUGUAGUCUUCUUUUUUUUUUAUCGAAUCUAGUCUACUACAACCAGAACUACAAUCACAAUGACACCAACGACAAUUAGAAACACUCAUACCCACAAUGCACCUCGCUGGUACCUAAACAUCAGGUGUGGGUGAAAAGGUUGAGAGAUGAGUAUGAACAGGAACAGGAAGAGAGACAGGCUGGAGUCACAGACAGACAGGUGGAACGACACAGACAGGAUGGACCUACAGACAGAAAGGAUUGGCCGACAGACAGACAGACAGACAGGAUGGACCUACAGACAGAAAGGAUGGGCCGACAGACAGACAGACAGACAGGAUGGACCGAUAGACAGAAAGGAUGGACCUACAGACAGACAGACAGGAUGGACCGAUAGACAGAAAGGAUGGACCUACAGACAGACAGACAGGAUGGACCGAUAGACAGACAGCUGGAACGACAGAUAGAAAGACAGGAUGGUUUGACAGACAGAAAGGAUGGACCGACAGACAGACAGGAUGGACCUACAGACCGAAAGGAGGAUACGACAGACAGACAGGUUGGAACCACAGACAGACAGGUUGGAACCACAGACAGACAGGAUGAAACGACAGACAGACAGGUGGAACGACAGAUAGAAAGACAGGAUGGGCCGACAGACAGAAAGGAUGAAACGGCAGACAGACACGAUGAAACGGCAGACGGACACGAUGAAACGGCAGACAGACAGGUGGAACGACAGACAGACAGGACCAACCGGGUGUUGUCUGUGCGUCCGAUCACGUAGAAGCAGGGCUCGCCUUGUUUGGAGUUAGUCAUACAGAGAGACAGACUGGACAGCUCCACUAGAGAGAGAGACAGGUUCACUAGAGAGAGACAGGUCCACGAGAGAGAGGGACAGGUCCACUACAGAGAGAGAGAGGCUCACUAGAGAGAGACAGGUCCACUAGAGGGCGAGACAGGUUCACUUGAGAGAGAGACAGGUUAAUUUGAGAGACAGUCUGGUUUAAUCGAGAGACAGACAGGUGCAGGUGAGAAACAGACAGGUCCAGUAGAGGGAGACAGACAGGUCCACUAGAGAGAGAGACAGUGUGUUUGUGGAGGCGGUACACAGCCUGGGCCAAAGUCCCGCCCCUUCCUGUGUCCCGGUCUGCUGAUCUGAAACCCUUAGACAUUCCUUUACUAAGUGUAUUAUACAGUGAUGAUCUGAAACCCCUAGACUUCCCUUUACUAAGUGUAUUUGUGUUUGUGUGUGUGUGUGUGUGUGUGUGUGUGUGUGUGUGUGUGUGUGUGUGUGUGUGUGUGUGUGUGUGUGUGUAUGUGUUUUGUGUGUGUGUUUGUGUUUAUGUUUUUGU